rnacentral:misc_RNA from 1 species
AGAACUCACAAAAUAAAAUAAGACAACACAACAUAAAGAAGUUUGGAAACUCACUGUACAAAAUCCAUUAUAAAAAGAAAAUUUCAAUCUUUCAUGUAAUUCUCACUCAGAAAAGCCAAACCCCAACACACCCAAAAAAGAAAAUCUCACUUGAAAAUCUAUAGACAAGUUUGUCCUUUCUCUCACUUUAUAGACAAACUUGCCUGACAACAGUAAUACAGUAAAGUGAACUCUCCAAACCUGAACAAAGCUGCUCUCCUCCAUUGGGCAGAAGCUCCCUUGCUUGGGCAAAAGCCCUUUAUUUGGGGAAAAAUUAAAAACUACUUUAUAUGGGCAGAACCUGACAAACUAUUGGCCCCUGCUUAUUGAGAUUUGAGAUAACUUCAACUGCUUCUUGAUUAAGGAAAAAUCUACCAAAUAGAAAAACUAAAACCCAAACAAAUAGAAAUUUAGACAAAUCUGAACUUG